rnacentral:rRNA from 1 species
CUACGGGGGGCACCAGUGAGGAAUAUUGCACAAUGGGGGGAACCCUGAUGCAGCAACGCCGCGUGGAGGAUGACGCAUUUCGGUGUGUAAACUCCUUUUAUAUGUCAAGAAAAUGACGGUAGCAUAUGAAUAAGCACCGGCUAACUCCGUGCCAGCAGCCGCGUGUAAUACGGAGGGUGCAAGCGUUACUCGGAAUCACUGGGCGUAAAGGACGCGUAGGCGGGUUGGAAAGUCAGGUGUGAAAUCCUACAGCUUAACUGUAGAACUGCACUUGAAACUUCUAAUCUAGAGUAUGGGAGGGGGAGAUGGAAUUAGUGGUGUAGGGGUAAAAUCCGUAGAUAUCACUAGGAAUACCUAAAGCGAAGGCGAUCUCCUGGAACAUUACUGACGCUAAGGCGUGAAAGCGUGGGGAGCAAACAGGAUUAGAUACCCUGGUAGUC